UACGAAGGGGGCUAGCGUUGCUCGGAAUUACUGGGCGUAAAGGGCGCGUAGGCGGACGUUUAAGUCGGGGGUGAAAGCCCGGGGCUCAACCUCGGAAUUGCCUUCGAUACUGGACGUCUUGAGUACGGGAGAGGUGAGUGGAACUCCGAGUGUAGAGGUGGAAUUCGUAGAUAUUCGGAAGAACACCAGUGGCGAAGGCGGCUCACUGGACUGGUAUUGACGCUGAGGUGCGAAAGCGUGGGGAGCAAACAGG
rnacentral:rRNA from 1 species